rnacentral:tRNA from 1 species
GCCGUCCCAGUCGUCGGGGAGGCGGCCGUACUCGUAAUGCGUAGGUCUCGGGUUCCAAUCCCGAAGGCGGCUCCA